rnacentral:piRNA from 2 species
UGUUGGGUGAUUUAAAACAGCUAAGCAAG